ensembl:lncRNA
UUUCUUGAGCUGUGUUACAUCCUGCUAGAUGGCGGUUUGGCUAAGGACCUGCUGAUUCUAGCACAGUUGGAUUUCUCAACUUGCUCUUACCACGGUAUUUCCUUGUCAACUGGGCUACCAUCUCCAGGAUUGCCUGCUUGCAUUGCUCAGGUGUUUCCAUGGCUAUGUGUGCAGUCACAGUACAUCCAUGAACCGCAGCCCUGUCAGGAACCUUUUAGGAAAACUGGUCAGAGAGAACCAUUUGGGUCACUGAGUUCUGCAGCCUGCAGGAAAUGUCUAGGUUGCAGAUCUGUGAGGCAUCUACUCUGCUUGACCUCCCCGCUCCCCACUCUCCAAAUGACAAAGCUUUCCCAGUCCUCUGUGGCAAGUGGGAUCAGCAGUGAGACACCCACAGUGACCACCACAUAUUGCACUGGGAGAAGGCAAAGGAUGAUGAGGGCUUUGACGUGCCAGCUUUGUAUUCUGCACAGCUGCCCUCUCUCUGCAGAGUCAAACCUCUGGUCUUGGUUCAGAGGUCUUGCAAAAGAGCAUGUAAACACAUGGUUUUGUGGAACCGUGCCAUUUCUCACCCCAAAUUCUGCUUACGAAGGUAGUUGAAUAUAUUUCCUCACUGCUCCUCAAGUGUUGGAAGGUAAAUAAGUUUAACAUAAUCUCUCAAACUUACAUCUAUGGCAUCAGUGCUUGAAUUUAAUAUCAGGAACUCAUGGGCACAGUGAAACUUUGUCCACCAGGGAGGCUAUGAAGAACAUAAGUUUUUUACAAAAUAAUUAAGUUGAAGGGCCAAGUUGCUUAUACCUUACCCUCUUAGAACCACAGAUGUUGAUAAACUGAUGGUUCACUUGUACUUUGUUAUCAGUCAGACCUAUAUAUAAAACAAGGACCAAUGAAAAAUGAUAAAUAACUUAGAGCAAAACAAAUCCAAGUAGCUCUUUUGGGCCUUUUUUUUUUUUUCUUUAAUAAGUCCUGGAGUAGUUAAUUUCAGAAUUCUUGUUAAGGUUCAACUGCAGAGAUAAUUUUGAAUCUAACCCUUGUUUAAUCCAGUACUUAGUCUAGGGAAGUUCCUCUGGCUCUAUAUUAGGAAGGGAUCAGAAUUAAGUGCAAAAUAUUCAUACAAAUUUCUCUGCUGGGCAUGGGAUAAGAAAAUAGAGGAGCUUGAAAAGCAAGCUACUUUUAAAGACAGUAAUUCCAUAUGAUAAGUUUUGUACUAAUGUCAUAUACAGCCAGUUAUAAAAUGCUUCAAAAUCCGAGGCAUCAAAUUUCAUACCAUUUCAUGUCAGAGAUGCAUGACUGAAAAAUUCCUUUUACAAACAUGAAAACAUGCCAAAUGCGGAAAAGUGAACAACUGAGCAAAAAAGUGAGACAAAGUGUUACUAAUGUCUGCCAACUGGUAUUAUUCACAAGUACCGUCAAUCGCACAUGAGCAACCUCCGUAUCCGCCACCCCCUGAACACGAAAACCCACCUCACCCCUAACUUGUGGUAACGCAGUUGUCCUGUUUGUGGUUAGAGCUCUGCUCUAUUGUUUGGAGAUUGCCUUCAGUUCUGUGCAUCUCUUAACCCUAGCCGGCGUUGUUGAAGCUGACAGUAAAAGGGAGGGAAACUCCCUUUUUCAAUUCAAUUAAAACGUCUUUACUGCUAUUUUGAAUGCAGAUGAGCCCCUCAGCAAUGAGGAAAUUAGUAUUUUAUGGUGAAGCAUUUAUAUAGUUUAUUCUAUAUUUGAACCAUAAUAAAUUACAUCCAUUUUUUACAAGAAUUAUAACUGACAUGCUGUCAGAGCUGUACAUGUACAGCCUUAGAAAUAUACAUAAUACUUUGAAAGCUGUCACAUUCGGUAUGGUUGUAAACAUCACCCUGGGUUACUAAACUGUUAUCUUUAGGUUUACUUCUUCGGAUAAACCAUGGGAUCUUCACAAAUUUGAACCAGAGGAAAAUCAAUUCUCCCUCAAACAGUUGCACAGUAGUUUACCACCCAUGGUUAAUUGCACAGCUUCAUACUGGCUUGAGCUCCUGUCUGGCUGUGUUUGCAGAGUAUCCUUGUUUAGUUUUUUUCCUGCCUCUCAUAGACUUUGUAGUGAAGGCUAGGGAAACACCACCCAAUGUGACUUGGUGUCCUCACCCAUCUUGGCAUUUUUCUACCCAAAAACUCUACUAUGUAGUAUAUUACAUACUAUACUAAUAGUAUACUAUACAUAGUAUACUAUGUAGUAUAUUGCAAUGCUGUUUCUACUGUGUCACUUUCAUAGACUUCCUUCAAAUAGUCACUUUAUAAAAUACUAUGCAGCCACUUAGGAAGUUGUAUUCUUUAAAAAAAGAAUAAUGUUGAAUCAUUAUAGGAAUGUUUCUGGGGAAUGACAGCCUUGUUACAGAAUGGUGUGGAGGGAGUCAGAUUCUGCAGGAGUACCACUGUUCUUCCUGUGUGCUUUAGGAUUCUGAAAUUAUGGUUGGGCUGGAUGAUCAUUAUGGCCUUUUCCAACCUUAAUGAUUGUAUGAAAUAAAACUAUGUGAAGU